GAUUGAACGCUGGCGGCAUGCCUUACACAUGCAAGUCGAACGGCAGCACGGGUGCUUGCACCUGGUGGCGCGUGGCGAACGGGUGAGUAAUACAUCGGAACAUGUCCUGUAGUGGGGGAUAGCCCGGCGAAAGCCGGAUUAAUACCGCAUACGAUCUACGGAUGAAAGCGGGGGACCUUCGGGCCUCGCGCUAUAGGGUUGGCCGAUGGCUGAUUAGCUAGUUGGUGGGGUAAAGGCCUACCAAGGCGACGAUCAGUAGCUGGUCUGAGAGGACGACCAGCCACACUGGGACUGAGACACGGCCCAGACUCCUACGGGAGGCAGCAGUGGGGAAUUUUGGACAAAGGGCGAAAGCCUGAUCCAGCAAUGCCGCGUGUGUGAAGAAGGCCUUCGGGUUGUAAAGCACUUUUGUCCGGAAAGAAAUCCUUGGCCCUAAUACGGUCGGGGGAUGACGGUACCGGAAGAAUAAGCACUGGCUAACUACGUG
rnacentral:rRNA from 1 species